CGUGAAGGAGGACGGCCUUAGGGUUGUAAACUGCUUUUGGAGGAACGUGGGGUACCUGGCGAAUAAGCCCCGGCUAAGGGCAGGCCAGCAGCCGCGGUAAGACGGAGGGGGCAAGCGUUGUCCGGACUCACUGGGCGUAAAGAGCACGUAGGUGGCAUGAUGCGUCACCCCUGAAAGCGCUCGGCUUAACCGAGGCAGGGUGGUGAUACGAUCAAGCUCGAGGCAGGAAGAGGUUAGCGGAAUUCCGGGUGUAGUUGUGAAAUGCGUAGAUAUCCGGAGGAACAUCUGUGGCGAAGGCGGCUAACUGGGACUGACCUGACGCUGAGGUGCGAAAGCGUGGGGAGCGAACCGGAUUAGAUACCCGGGUAGUCCACGCUGUAAACGAUGUCGGCUCGGUGUUUGGGAAUGAUAUACCUUCCCUGGGGGCUUAAGUGGGGGGGGGAAGGCCAACCCCCUGGGGACUACAAGCGCAAGUUUAAAAUUCAAAGGAAUUGACGGGGGCCCGCCCAACCACGGAACCGUGUGGUUUAAUUCAACCCACCACGAAAAACCUUACCCAGGUUUGACUUGUUCCUGCAACCCACCGAAACCUGGGGACCUACAAGGGGGAACCCCAGGGGUUGCUUGGCUGUCUUCACUUCGGGCCGGGGAAUGUUGGGUUAAGUCCCGAAACGGGGGCACCCUCCCUGGCCAGUUACCAUGUUUGGGGGGCCGCCCUCUUUAAAGGGGGGAGGAAGGGGGGAAGAAGUUCAGUUCCCCUGGGCCUUUACCCCUGGGGUGACCCCAACCUUCAAAUGGUCCCGGACAAGGCCCUCCGACCUCUCCAAAGAG
rnacentral:rRNA from 1 species